AUGCUAAUGGGGGAAGAGAGAAGCCUCAAUGAAGGUGGUUGUCCGUGGUGAGGCCCAUCCAAUGUCCUCCAGAUGUAAUGGUCCCUGAGAUUCCUCCCAUUGUGAGAAACUCAGCUACACAAUUUGUGGUGGUGGGAACUCCUU
ensembl:snRNA U1 U1 spliceosomal RNA